AAUGAACGCUGGCGGCGUGCCUAACACAUGCAAGUCGGAUGUGCCGCAAGGUGCAUGGCAGACGGGUGAGUAACGCGUAGGGAAUCUACCUUUUUGUGGGGAAUAACGCUCCGAAAGGAGUGGUAAUACCGCAUGAGACCGUGAGCUGGGAUGUUCACGGUGAAACCUGGGGACCGCAAGGCCUGGGCAAAAAGAGGAUCCUGCGUCUGAUUAGCUAGUUGGCGGGGUAAUGGCCCACCAAGGCGACGAUCAGUAGCCGGCCUGAGAGGGUGAUCGGCCACACUGGAACUGAGACACGGUCCAGACUCCUACGGGAGGCAGCAGUGGGGAAUUUUGCGCAAUGGACGAAAGUCUGACGCAGCAACGCCGCGUGGGUGAUGAAGGUCUUCGGACUGUAAAACCCUGUCGUCAGGGACGAAGGUGGCAGUGUUAAUAGCGCUGUUACUUGACGGUACCUGGAGAGGAAGCCCCGGCUAACUCUGUG
rnacentral:rRNA from 1 species